rnacentral:rRNA from 1 species
AGAGUUUGAUCCUGGCUCAGAUUGAACGCUGGCGGCACGCCUAACACAUGCAAGUCGAGCGGCAACAUGAUAUGUAGCAAUACAUAUUGAUGGCGAGCGGCGGACGGGUGCGUAACGCGUAGGAACUUGCCCAUAAGAGGGGGAUAACCAAGGGAAACUUUGGCUAAUACCGCGUGACCUCGGGAGAGGAAAGCUGCCGCAAGGUAGCGCUUAUGGAGAGGCCUGCGUCCGAUUAGCUAGUUGGUGAGGUAAGAGCUUACCAAGGCGAUGAUCGGUAACUGGUCUGAGAGGACGACCAGUCACACUGGGACUGAGACACGGCCCAGACUCCUACGGGAGGCAGCAGUGGGGAAUCUUGGACAAUGGGGGGAACCCUAAUCCAGCGAUGCCGCGUGGGUGAAGAAGGCCUUCGGGUUGUAAAGCCCUUUAGUUUGGGAAGAAGGUUUGUGGAGGAAAUGCCAUAGACUUGACGGUACCAAAAGAAUAAGCACCGGCAAACUCUGUGCCAGCAGCCGCGGUAAUACAGAGGGUGCGAGCGUUAAUCGGAAUUACUGGGCGUAAAGGGCGCGUAGGCGGU